GGAAUAUUGCGCAAUGGGGGCAACCCUGACGCAGCCAUGCCGCGUGUGUGAAGAAGGCCUUCGGGUUGUAAAGCACUUUCACUUGGGAAGAAAAGUUGGUCGUUAAUAGCGGCCGGCCCUGACUUUACCUUGAGAAGAAGCACCGGCGAACUCCGUGCCAGCAGCCGCGGUAAUACGGAGGGUGCGAGCGUUAAUCGGAAUUACUGGGCGUAAAGCGCGCGUAGGCGGUUUGUUAAGUCAGCUGUGAAAGCCCCGGGCUCAACCUGGGAACUGCAGUUGAUACUGGCCGACUAGAGUACGAGAGAGGGAGGUAGAAUUCCAUGUGUAGCGGUGAAAUGCGUAGAUAUAUGGAGGAAUACCGGUGGCGAAGGCCGCCUCCUGGCUCGAUACUGACGCUGAGGUGCGAAAGCGUGGGGAUCAAA
rnacentral:rRNA from 1 species